rnacentral:rRNA from 1 species
GACGAACGCUGGCGGCGUGCCUAAUACAUGCAAGUCGAGCGGACUGAAUGGGAGCUUGCUCUUGUUCGGUCAGCGGCGGACGGGUGAGUAACACGUGGGCAACCUGCCCGCAAGACCGGGAUAACUCCGGGAAACCGGAGCUAAUACCGGAUAACACCGAAGACCGCAUGGUCUUUGGUUGAAAGGCGGCGCAAGCUGCCACUUGCGGAUGGGCCCGCGGCGCAUUAGCUAGUUGGUGAGGUAACGGCUCACCAAGGCGACGAUGCGUAGCCGGCCUGAGAGGGUGACCGGCCACACUGGGACUGAGACACGGCCCAGACGCCUACGGGAGGCAGCAGUAGGGAAUCGUCCGCAAUGGGCGAAAGCCUGACGGAGAGACGCCGCGUGAGCGAAGAAGGCCUUCGGGUCGUAAAGCUCUGUUGUGAGGGACGAAGGAGCGCCGUUUGAAGAAGGCGGCGCGGUGACGGUACCUCACGAGGAAGCCCCGGCUAACUACGUG